AAUGCUUAGCAAUGGAUCACUUGACUUCUGCAUUGAUGAAGAAUGACACCGACUCAGAAAUAAUGGGAAUUGCAGGGCACAUUGAUCAUCCACAUUUCAAAUAAACCUUGCAGCCCUGGCUCCGCUGCCCAUAGCUCAG
rnacentral:rRNA from 1 species